AACAUGUUUGUCUUUCACAGGUAUGGCAGUAUGAACAGCUGUGGCUGUAUUUGCUGCACAUGUAAUGAUUUCAACUGACACACACAGGGAACUUGUCUACACAGUGAGGAUUUAGCCUUUCUCUGCUGUAAUCAGCACCACGCCGCUGAUGUCAAUGGAGCCACCAUGAAGAGCUGGCUCGGAGAAGUCACAGGGCAAGAUGGACAACGGUUCCGGGAGUUUUAGAAGGAGAAAAGGAAAGGCACCAAGAAAUCCCUUCAGAGGCCUGGGAGGCUAUAACGGAACCAUUGUGAAACAGCUGCCAGGAGAAUGCCAACAGAAAAUGUGGAUUAGCUAUUUUCACAAUGUAGACACAGGAAGCACAAGGAAAAGCUGGAGGGAAGGCAGGCGAGUAACAAGCCAUCUCCAUUUCUUCUGGAAGUGUCCCAAACUGAGGGACGGAUUUGCUGAUGUCUCAGCAUUGCUGCAAGAAUCCCCCAGUCCUUGUUCUGCAGUCAGGGGAAUGCCCGCAUUUUAAUGAAAUGAUACCUGCUAGGACAGCUGCAAUGGCUGCCGAUAGGAGCAUUUCACUGCUAGGGCUGCAAGGCCACAGUGCACGUCACAAGGGUAACAGGCUUAAGAGACAUAAAGACUUAGGGACAGCGAUGCAAGGUGCUCGAUUCGAGCUGUCCCUGGCCAGUGGAGCGUUCCCCUGGCAGGGGGAUGGAUUCAGCUGGCAGAAAGUCGGGUAUUGUGCCAAGUGUAUGGAGCAUGUUGAGGGAAAGAGGGCAGAGUGGGGUGGGCCACAGCACUGCUCCACACCGGUUCUCUGAUAAGAACAGCCACACUGGCUCAGACCAAUGGGCCAUCUAGCCCAGUAGCCUGUCUACAACAGUGGCCAGUACCAGGGCUGCUUCUCUGAAGUGUCCCUGUGGGCACCCCACUUCAGGUGCACGUGUGCCCCACUCAACUCUGAGCAGAGAUUUUCCUUAGCAAUGUCUGUUCAGACCACGCAUGCUCCCUGCACACCCUCGUGCCCUGCACUGGGGCGAGAUGGGGCUGUGUGGGCAAACUGCUCAGUGGACAGAACAGAGCAAUUCUGGAGAGAUCCACCCUGUCGUCCCCUCCCACCUUCUGGCAGUUGGAGGCUUAGGGUUGCCCCGAGCAUGGAGUUAGGUCCCUGAGCAUCUUGGGUAAUAGCCAUUGAUGGUCCUACCCUCCAGGAACUUCUUCAGUUCUUUUUGAACCCAGUUGUCACAACAUCCCAUGGCAAUGAAUUCCACAGGCAUUGUGUAGCACUUGCUGGCAUAGGCAAGAACAGGACAUGUUAGUGCUGAGGCCAGCUGCAUUGCAGCUUGAGAAUCAAGGAGCUGUAACCAACCCUGCUCCAUUCCCUGCUGCCUGGCACAGGAGAGAUUCUAGCGUGUGCUGUUUCUGUCAGGUUCCCACUGAGCUGAGGAGUAAUGGUGCAAGUGGGAUGGACUAAAUAAAAGUAAAUUAUUGCUAAAACUUUUUGAAUAGCAUGGAAACUCACUGCACACCAGCAGUGCCUCAGUUCGGCAUGGUUCCCUGCUCGUAUGCAGAUAGCUGAUGUCUUGUUCUUACUGACCAUGUAAGAAAAUGAUCCAAACUGGCAACAAUUCUGUUUACCAUAAAUUAAAAACCCAAGUAAGUGAAAUAGGAUUCUGUUCCUGUGAGUAUGUAACAGCUGGCCCAGGGAGUAGGCCGGGAGCCUGACGUUGAUUGAUUUUUAAAGCCCUGUUCAAAUAAACUUUGAAAGGUUUUGCACAA